GUGGUCACUUUGGCAGCACAUAUACUCAAAUUGGAACAAUACAGAUAACAUUAGCAUGGCCUCUGUGAAAAGAUGACAUGCAAACUCAUGAAGCAUUCCAUAUUUUU
ensembl:snRNA U6 U6 spliceosomal RNA